GGGGCUAUCGAUUAGUGGUAAAUCAUAAUGUUCGCAUUCAUAGCAAUACGCAUUACGUUAGGCCCCCGGUUCGAUUCCGGGUAGCUCCA